GAUGAACGCUGGCGGCGUGCUUAACACAUGCAAGUCGAACGAUGAAGCUCAGCUUGCUGGGUGGAUUAGUGGCGAACGGGUGAGUAACACGUGAGUAACCUGCCCUUAACUCUGGGAUAAGCCUGGGAAACUAGGUCUAAUACCGGAUAGGAGCGUCCACCGCAUGGGGGGUGUUGGAAAGAUUUAUCGGUUUUGGAUGGACUCGCGGCCUAUCAGCUUGUUGGUGAGGUAUUGGCUCACCAAGGCGACGACGGGUAGCCGGCCUGAGAGGGUGACCGGCCACACUGGGACUGAGACACGGCCCAGACUCCUACGGGAGGCAGCAGUGGGGAAUAUUGCACAAUGGGCGAAAGCCUGAUGCAGCGACGCCGCGUGAGGGAUGACGGCCUUCGGGUUGUAAACCUCUUUCAGUAGGGAAGAAGCGAAAGUGACGGUACCUGCAGAAGAAGCACCGGCUAACUACGUG
rnacentral:rRNA from 1 species